GAAUGCUGACAUAAGUAACGAUAAAGCGGGUGAAAAGCCCGCUCGCCGGAAGACCAAGGGUUCCUGUCCAACGUUAAUCGGGGCAGGGUGAGUCGACCCCUAAGGCGAGGCCGAAAGGCGUAGUCGAUGGGAAACGGGUUAAUAUUCCCGUACUUGGUGUUACUGCGAAGGGGGGACGGAGAAGGCUAUGUUGGCCGGGCGACGGUUGUCCCGGUUUAAGCGUGUAGGUGUGUGUUCCAGGUAAAUCCGGUUCACUUUAACACUGAGGCGUGACGACGAGGCACUACGGUGCUGAAGCAACAAAUGCCCUGCUUCCAGGAAAAGCCUCUAAGCAUCAGGUAACACGAAAUCGUACCCCAAACCGACACAGGUGGUCAGGUAGAGAAUACCAAGGCGCUUGAGAGAACUCGGGUGAAGGAACUAGGCAAAAUGGUGCCGUAACUUCGGGAGAAGGCACGCUGACACGUAGGUGAAGUGAUUUACUCAUGGAGCUGAAGUCAGUCGAAGAUACCAGCUGGCUGCAACUGUUUAUUAAAAACACAGCACUGUGCAAACACGAAAGUGGACGUAUACGGUGUGACGCCUGCCCGGUGCCGGAAGGUUAAUUGAUGGGGUCAGCGCAAGCGAAGCUCCUGAUCGAAGCCCCGGUAAACGGCGGCCGUAACUAUAACGGUCCUAAGGUAGCGAAAUUCCUUGUCGGGUAAGUUCCGACCUGCACGAAUGGCGUAAUGAUGGCCAGGCUGUCUCCACCCGAGACUCAGUGAAAUUGAACUCGCUGUGAAGAUGCAGUGUACCCGCGGCAAGACGGAAAGACCCCGUGAACCUUUACUAUAGCUUGACACUGAACAUUGAGCCUUGAUGUGUAGGAUAGGUGGGAGGCUUUGAAGUGUGGACGCCAGUCUGCAUGGAGCCGACCUUGAAAUACCACCCUUUAAUGUUUGAUGUUCUAACGUGGACCCGUAA
rnacentral:rRNA from 1 species